rnacentral:rRNA from 1 species
UAACACGUAAACAACCUGCCUUCAGGAUGGGGACAACAGACGGAAACGACUGCUAAUACCGAAUAAGUUCCAAGAGCCGCAUGGCCCAUGGAAGAAAAGGUGGCCUCUACCUGUAAGCUAUCGCCUGAAGAGGGGUUUGCGUCUGAUUAGCUGGUUGGAGGGGUAACGGCCCACCAAGGCGACGAUCAGUAGCCGGUCUGAGAGGAUGAACGGCCACACUGGAACUGAGACACGGUCCAGACUCCUACGGGAGGCAGCAGUGGGGAAUCUUCCGCAAUGGGCGAAAGCCUGACGGAGCAACGCCGCGUGAGUGAUGACGGCCUUCGGGUUGUAAA